rnacentral:rRNA from 1 species
ACGCUAGCGACAGGCUUAACACAUGCAAGUCGAGGGGCAGCGGGGAGUAGCAAUACUCCGCCGGCGACCGGCGCACGGGUGAGUAACGCGUAUGCAACCUGCCUAUCAGAGGGGAAUAACCCGGCGAAAGUCGGACUAAUACCGCAUAAAACAGGGGUCCCGCAUGGGAAUAUUUGUUAAAGAAUAAUCGCUGAUAGAUGGGCAUGCGUUCCAUUAGAUAGUUGGUGGGGUAACGGCCCACCAAGUCCACGAUGGAUAGGGGUUCUGAGAGGAAGGUCCCCCACACUGGUACUGAGACACGGACCAGACUCCUACGGGAGGCAGCAGUGAGGAAUAUUGGUCAAUGGGCGAGAGCCUGAACCAGCCAAGUCGCGUGAAGGAUGAAGGAUCUAUGGUUCGUAAACUUCUUUUAUAGGGGAAUAAAGUGCUGGACGUGUCCGGUUUUGUAUGUACCCUGUGAAUAAGGAUCGGCUAACUCCGUGCCAGCAGCCGCGGUAAUACGGAGGAUCCGAGCGUUAUCCGGAUUUAUUGGGUUUAAAGGGUGCGUAGGUGGUUUUUUAAGUCAGCGGUGAAAGUUUGUGGCUCAACCAUAAAAUUGCCGUUGAAACUGGAGGACUUGAGUAUGUUUGAGGUAGGCGGAAUGCGUGGUGUAGCGGUGAAAUGCAUAGAUAUCACGCAGAACUCCGAUUGCGAAGGCAGCUUACUAAACCAUAACUGACACUGAAGCACGAAAGCGUGGGGAUCAAACAGGAUUAGAUACCCUGGUAGUCCACGCAGUAAACGAUGAUUACUA